GUGUCAGCAGCCGCGGUAAAACGUAGGAGACAAGCGUUAUCCGGAGUUACUGGGCGUAAAGGGCGUGUAGGUGGCAGAAUAAGUCUGUUGUGAAAGCUCCUGGCUUAACCGGGAGAGGCCAAUGGAGACUGUUCAGCUCGAGGCCGGUAGAGGUGGGUGGAAUUCCGGGUGUAGUGGUGAAAUGCGUAGAGAUCCGGAGGAACACCAGAGGCGAAGGCGGCCCACUAGGCCGGACCUGACACUGAAACGCGACAGCAUGGGGAGCAAACGGGAUUAGAAACCCCGGUAGUCC
rnacentral:rRNA from 1 species